GAUGAAGAACUCAGCGAAAUGCGAUAAGUAAUGUGAAUUGCAGAAUUCAGUGAAUCAUCGAAUCUUUGAUCGCACAUUGCGCCCGCCAGUAUUCUGGCGGGCAUGCCUGUUCGAGCGUCAUUACAACCCUCAGGCCCCCGGGCCUGGCGUUGGGGAUCGGCGGAGCCCCCCGUGGGCACACGCCGUCCCCCAAAUGCAGUGGCGGUCCCGCCGCAGCUUCCAUCGCGUAGUAGCUAACACCUCGCGACUGGAGAGCGGCGCGGCCACGCCGUAAAACACCCAACUCUUCUGAAGUUGACCUCGAAUCAGGUAGGAAUACCCGCUGAACUUAAGCAUAUCAAUAAGCGGAGGA
rnacentral:misc_RNA from 1 species